rnacentral:rRNA from 1 species
AGUGGGGAAUCUUGGACAAUGGGGGCAACCCUGAUCCAGCAAUGCCGCGUGGGUGAAGAAGGCCUUCGGGUUGUAAAGCCCUUUCGGCAGGGAAGAAAUCGGUGGAGUGAAUAACUCCACUGGAUGACGGUACCUGCAGAAGAAGCACCGGCUAACUACGUGCCAGCAGCCGCGGUAAUACGUAGGGUGCGAGCGUUAAUCGGAUUUACUGGGCGUAAAGCGUGCGCAGGCGGCUCGUUAAGACAGGUGUGAAAUCCCUGGGCUCAACCUAGGAAUUGCGCUUGUGACUGGCGAGCUCGAGUACGGUAGAGGGGGGUGGAAUUCCUGGUGUAGCAGUGAAAUGCGUAGAGAUCAGGAGGAACACCGAUGGCGAAGGCAGCCUCCUGGGCCUGUACUGACGCUUAGGCACGAAAGCGUGGGGAGCAAA